AGUUAUGGCGGCUGUGCGCGGGGCACCUUCGGGUGCGCCGGGUUCCUUUGUCCCCGGUCUGCUAACCCGCGUACAGCUGCCUCCCAU
rnacentral:antisense_RNA from 15 species